GAAAAGUCCAUUCCUUCAGAGGCAUGGCAUAUGCCUUUGCUUUUCAUUUUAUUUGUGAAUUCCCCGGAACAAGGCGAAACUAGGAAAAUAAUCAAAACAAGAUGGCACUUAAAUUCAAGAAGGCAUUAGAUAAAGUAAUAGAGAAAUCAGAACUCAAUGCGGUUGUUUUACAACCCAAUUGCAAAGAUACUGAAGAGAUUGUGAAGAAAAUAAUUCAAGCCUUCCACGACACAAAUUCUAUUUUCCGGGACACUCUAAUUGAUUUCAUACAAACAAGUAAGCUUCACACUAUUUCCGCUCAUACAAAUGAAUAAUAAACGCUUUUACGCUGUCCUAAAGGUACCAAAAACGAUAAUUAUAUCCCAUGGCUUAAGCUUAAAAUGUCAAAACAAAAAUGACUAAAAUAGGUGAAGAUGAAAACGCGACGUUCUGCGUGCUGAAGGCAGAUGCACAGCAUCCAGUUGUAGUGUCCAGUACAUUGUGAUGAAGUACACACUCAGUGCAUUUGUGGAGGAGAACUCAGAUAGAGGCAUGCCAGUAUUUGAAAUUAAACCUCUGGCACACAGUGUCUUUUCCAGUUUUCACUAAAAUUACAAUUUUAUAUAUGACUGCUUCGCCUAUUUUGUAUUGCAUUGUUAAGUUUGCUGGAAGAUAUACAUGGGAAUUCAGUCCAAGUCCACGAUGCUAUAUUUUUGGCUACCAGCACACCGACAGCUUCUCCUCAAUCUGAUAUCGAAUUGUUCCUCGAGGUGCGUUAACCCAUCCUAAUUCCUGCGAACCUUUUGCUAACAAACUUAAAUAUUUCCAGGUUCUUAAACAAUUAAUUUCUGCGACAGCGAAUACCGGACGCUUGUUUUUCAUAUACAACAAGCUAAUGCAUUACAAACAAACAGACAGUGUGGACCUUGCUGAACCUGUGGCAUUGUUUGGCCUAAGUGAAUCUUAAUUACUACUACAAGUUUUAUCCAAAUUUUGUGUAUUUGAUACUUUUAAAUAAAACAAUCAUAAGCUGUCCCCUUUUCCA
rnacentral:lncRNA from 1 species